GACGAACGCUGGCGGCGUGCUUAACACAUGCAAGUCGAACGGUGACGAGGAGCUUGCUCCUCUGAUCAGUGGCGAACGGGUGAGUAACACGUGAGUAACCUGCCCCAGACUCUGGGAUAACAGUUGGAAACAGCUGCUAAUACCGGAUACGAGACGGAGAGGCAUCUCUACCGUCUGGAAAGUUUUUCGGUCUGGGAUGGACUCGCGGCCUAUCAGCUUGUUGGUGAGGUAAUGGCUCACCAAGGCGACGACGGGUAGCCGGCCUGAGAGGGCGACCGGCCACACUGGGACUGAGACACGGCCCAGACUCCUACGGGAGGCAGCAGUGGGGAAUAUUGCACAAUGGGCGCAAGCCUGAUGCAGCGACGCCGCGUGAGGGAUGAC
rnacentral:rRNA from 1 species